GGCGGGGGCCGGGCGCGGAGGCACUUACGGUUCGGGCGGUGGGCGAGAGCGAUCCGUUGGGGAGAGACGACUUGACAUCAGCUAAAUCCCUCUCUGCCGAGGAGUUUUCCGAGCUCUUCUCCUCCUGCUCGCCCUCGUCUUUGAAGGAAAUCAGUUCGUCGUUGGCGCCUAGGUCAUCUCCUCCACCGCCGUUCAGCUGCGGCAUUUUUUUUCACCCACCAGCAGCAAUUUUGGAAGAAAAAUGAAGGAGGAAGAAAAGCAAAAAAAAAAAAAAAAAAAAAUACCCCCAAAAAGU